UACGUAGGGGGGCAAGCGUUGUCCGGAAUUACUGGGCGUAAAGCGUGCGUAGGUGGUUCGUUAAGUCUGAUGUGAAAGCCCUGGGCUCAACCUGGGGAAUGGCAUUGGAAACUGGCGACCUAGAGUGCGGUAGAGGGUAGUGGAAUUCCCGGUGUAGCAGUGAAAUGCGUAGAGAUCGGGAGGAACAUCCGUGGCGAAGGCGACUACCUGGACCAGCACUGACACUGAGGCACGAAAGCGUGGGGAGCAAACAGG
rnacentral:rRNA from 1 species